CAGAGGGGAACCAGAACAGAGGUGAAGGGACUUGCCCAAGGUCAUCUUGAAGGUCAGUGGCUGACCUAGGAAUAGAACCCAGGCCGUAUCCAUUGGACAACAUUGCCUGAAAGACUAGAGUUCAAACCAUCUAUAGAGGAUCUGCAAAAUUUUCAUUUUAGGCUGUUAUUUCUACACACCCUCCCCCAUCCUCUCCAUAUGGAACAGAAUAAAGUUAAGAGACAUCAUUUUCAAAGAAUAAAGACUUGGAUGGAGCCCCUGUUUUCUUGUGAGUCUGCUACAGCUGUUAAUUUGUGGAAAACCUCAGUGGAAGGUAAGCAAUAUGGCAGCAUCAUUUUACAUGAGAAUUCAGAAAUGGCCUUAUUCCAAACCUUGGCUGAUUUAGGCUCUUGGCUUUCAUAGAGAAAGCUUUGUGUAGUGUCAUGCUUUUUUUUUUUUUAUAGAUGAUGUUGAUGCAGCUGUGAAAGGUUCUGAUAUUCUUUAAUGUGGAAUUGUCGUCAUUCAGUCAAACUAAAGUAUUGUGGAGUUGUGAUCUUGUUUGUCUUUGCUCAUCAGACAUUAGUGGGGUGAAUUAAAGCAGCAUUCUUGGAUCCAUGGGAUCUCCGUUUCAUGGUCGGAGGGAAAUAAAGUGUUGGGAAGAAAGAGGAAGCCAGAGAUGGGCUGUCCCUUUGAGGAGUCUGGGAGAGGAAGAUCAAGGAGUUUGGGGAAUGGAAAGUACUCUGUGGAUGGGCAUGAUGUUUUCUGGAGGCGUCUGAA